AUGCGACCGGAAGUGGGUCGCGUUUCCAAGAUGGCGACACCCUAUGUUACUGAUGAAACCGGAAAAUACAUUGCAUCCACACAGCGUCCAGAUGGUACUUGGAGAAAACAAAGACGGGUGAAAGAAGGCUAUGUUCCCCAAGAAGAAGUGCCAGUGUAUGAGAAUAAAUAUGUGAAGUUCUUUAAAAGCAAGCCAGAGUUACCUCCAGGCUUGAAUCCAGAAGUCCACACGCCUGUGGCCCGUCAAACGUCAAAGGGACCCGAGGGUGGAGAGACAGGGCUCUCUAAGACCGCCAAGAGGAAUCUCAAACGGAAGGAGAAGAGAAAACAGCAGCAGGAAAAAGGGGAUCGAGAUGCCGAUGACCUGAUUCAGUCUCUAGAGAAAACAACCUUGUCGGCGACACCGAGCAGCUGUGGGGAUGGUAAGCUGGCUGUGUCUGAUGCCAACCCAAGGGCCCCCGCUGGCAGCAGGGAUGUCUCGUCGGCUUCCGACACUGCCACCUUAGAGAAGAACAAGAAAAUUAAAAACCUGAAAAAGAAACUACGGCAGGUGGAGGAUCUGCAGGCGAGGAUUGACUCUGGGGAGAUCAAGCAACCGACCAAAGAGCAGUUAGAGAAGCUGGCUCGACGGAAAGCUUUGGAAGAGGAACUUGAGGACCUGGAACUGGAUUUGUAAAGGGUUGGAAUAUCAACCGGACCUAGUGUGCAUAGGAACAAACCGUCCCCCGGGGAAACGUUCUCAGAACUGUACAACAAAAAGACCAGAAGAUGGUGAUGUCUUCAGCCUUCUCCUUUGUAUCAUUAUUUUAUUUUAUGUUGGUGCUGUCUAAAUUUUUAAAAGUAUUUCUCCCAGCUGUUGAUGUGUUAGCUAUCUAGGACUUCUUUAAGGACAACAACUUUGCCACCUAGUUCUUUCUAGUUUCUUCCUCCCCUUCCCACCUCCAUUCCUGUUCCAGGUGGGUGGCUGAAAUGUCAUUUCACACCGAGGGGCUGGCUUUCAGAGGCAUCUGAGCAGGGCGAGCAGUCUCUUUUUUAACUGCUGCCACUAUAUUAUAUUCAACAUUCUCAUGUUCUCUGUAACAAUCACACAGCCUUCCAUCUUCUCCUUCCUCUUCAUUUUGAAAAAGGGAUGCAAUAAUAAAAAUUGCAGUAGUGACUUCUAACUCUAGGACAUCUGUGUUUUACCCCCAAUGCACUUUUUUUUUUUUUUUUAAAAAAAAGUCUUCUGUAUGAUAUUAGCAUUUUUAUAGGCUUCCCUUUCUUUGGCUGGUGGAUGCAGCCCAGUGUCAAAAGCGGUCUGUGAUAGAUGUGAAAAUGGCAAAAGGGACAGUAGUUCAGUGAUGGAACAUGUGUUUUAUAUGCAGACGUUUUGAAGUCUGAUCCCAAUUAUCCUCAGAUUGGAAGAAAAGUCCUGUUUGAAGCCCUGGGUGGUCACUGUCAAUCGGUCUUAACAAUGCUGAUCUCACAGCGCUUUGGUUUAUCUAAGGCAGCUCCCAGGCUGGGGUUGCAUAAACAUGCACCUUGAGACUAAAAUGGAAUGACUUAUAAUGGCAGCUUGUUGCACGAGUCUAGAGACCUUGUCUUAUGUUGUGUGAUCUAGACUAUCAAAUUUAAGUAGCAAAAUUUAUUUCCUUAGUCAUAUCCGGACAACAAAUCUGCUUGACUGCCAAGUGGCAGUAGAAGAGAUUGAUCUAAAAGUUUCCCUCUAAUCAUUGUCCAGAGUUUUUGCAUCCCAGAUAAAGUCCCUGAACAUUUUGUGCUUGGUUAACUAAGAGCUGGAUGUUUUGUGUGAAUCUGGUCCUUGUGUUUCAUGUAAGGAUUAGAAAUAGAAUUGAUAAUAAAUAUGUGUGGAUAUGGUGUGGUCAUCCUCGGUGUAGUAGGCACAGUUCUUGUCCCUUUCAGAUAACAGGAAAUUUAAACUUGGGGAAAAGUGAAGAGAAAGGCAGAAUAAACAGGUAUCUUCAAUUUGAAUAAAAGUCCAAGGGCUUCUUAACCAAGAUAACUAAAUUCUCUCUCUCCCUCUCUCCUCUCCUUUCUCUUUCAUUUCUAUAUUAGAACAGUGGUCAAGAAUUACCACAGCCUAAGACCAAUUCUGAGAAUCGGUUCACAUAAAACAGAGGUGUCAAACUUGCGUUGUCACAAUGGUGUCACGUGACGUAUUGGGACUUACUUUUCCCCUUCACUAAACCAAGCAUGGCCAGCACAUGACGUAUCCGGCCCGUGGGCCAUGAGUUUGACAGCCCUGGCUUAAAACAUAGGACCAAAUUUUAAGGGAGGAAAUGACCAAUCCUGAGGUGACCAGAAACUACACGUAACUUUUGGAGUGAUAAUAAUAAAGUCUGCAAAGAAAAGAGCAGUUGUGUAUAAUAUGGGUAGCUGUGUUAUAGACAUGGCCAGGACAAAAUUUUUCUGUUUGUUAGUUUUUUGUGGGAUGUUCUUUGAUGCUGAAUGUGUUAUUUAUUUAUGUAUUGAUUGAUGUCAUGCCUUUCACUCUGCAACUCAAGGUGACACACAAUACUCCCUCUUUCUAGUUGACCUCACAAACACCACUGUGUUAAACUGCCAUUUUUAUAUAUUCGCCAUCUCACAUAGCAGAAAGCUGAAAUUGAGUAACUUGGAAUAAUUUUUUUAAAAAAUGUGUGGUUUUAUACACACAGAGAGAGACAAAGAGUUGAGGCUGCAGAUGACCCUACAGUACAUGCUGUCUUCCUGGUUAUGAGAAAAAAUCUGCAGUUUAAUCAUAUUAUAUCUAGAUAUGUUAAUACACUAAAAUAUUUUCAUCGAUGUCAGAGGAUCGAUCUUUCAUGUGUCCCAGCUGGGAUGUGUAUUCGGUUUAAGAAAACAAAAUUUAAUUUCACACUUCUAGUUUAAAUUGAGAUUUUUCUUUCUGUCUCUUAACUAACACUGGCAUGAGCAAAGUGCAGUCUCUGUGCCAGACUCUGAGCAAAAAUUGAAGCUUUCCAGGUACCACUGGGUUACAGUGAAAUUACCAAAGGCAGAAGAUGGGAAAGAAGCAAGGGAGUUUUUUAAAAAAUCAGGCUAAAGUUUCAGUCAUGAAAUCAGCGUUGCAGUUCAAAGUCAGUGUCAAGAAAUAGAGUGUACACUGAAUGACUUUUGUUAGUGGAAGGUAACGUUGUUGGUGUCGGAUUGCACCUUCUGUUCAGGAACAGGGGUAAAACCCAGCAGCAGCUGCUCCUAUAGCUGUGUGAAAACAAAGGACAGUAACUGGCCGAUGCUGGAUUAAGGGUUUUGUUACCUUUGUCCAGCAGGUGGUGCUAAAAUUAAUAGGGCUAUCUUGUAUGCUCAGCUACUUUAUAUGUAUCAUUUUGUCACCACUUCACACACAUGCUAAUAUUCCUUUAGAUGAGGGGCGUCCAACCUUGGCAACUUUCAGACCUGUGGACUUCCACACCUAGAGUUCCCCAGACAGUUGUUCAGCAUAGCUGGCUGGGGAAUUCUGGGAACUGAAGUCCAUGGGUCUGAAAGUUGCAAAGCUUGGAUGCCUCUGCUUUAGAUGGACUAGCAAAAACUCAUCCCUCAGGGUAACACACACACACUACCCCAUAUACUGAAUGACAAAUUUGCAGGUCUCUUUUUAGACCAACAUGCCUGGCUAAGGCAUUCAUAUAUUACUAACCUAGAUCCCAUCUCAGACUGUUUUUCCCCUAUUCCUCUGUAGCCCUUAGAUGCAGGUCACUGAGCUCAUGGCUGAGAGUAAAAAGAAUAACUGCAUCACUUGAAAAAUUAGCUUUGCUUUCCAGAGAGCCACUCAUCAGACAGAUGAGGACUCAGGAUAGCGUUGCCUCUACUACUAGGGACGAUCUGGGGAACAGGACCCCUUCUAGCAAGCAUUGGUUCCAACUAUCAUCAGCCUUUCCAAUUGUAGCCAAUAGUCAGGAACAUCAUUUGCGGUGCAAACGAAUUGGAGAAUACCACAUGGUUCCCAAAUAUCCUUUAUCUGCUGUUUACCCAGCUGUCCUUUUGUUUUACCAGAACGAUUAAAGGAUCACCUGGAGAAGCUUAGGGGUACAUCAAAAACACAGCUGCUGCUGUUGUUCCCCUCCCAUUGUUUCCCUCCCAGCAAGUUUCAGCUACGUAAAGGAUUAACUCAACACAUUUCUUUGAGGAAGAGCCAACCAGCUUUGCAAUGAUACUGUCUUCACUCUUAUGACACAAUCGGCUCAUCUGAUACCAAGUUGCUAACACAAAAGGAUCUUGUUGACUUUCUGUGGUGUGACAAUUCCUGGGUUGACAAUAGAAUUCCCAGCCAGAAGGCUUACCAAUAGAUUCCACGAACUCCACUCACAAUGGCUUUGGAGAGAAAGCUGUCCUUGUCCAAGGAGCUUAAUUCCUCUGAACCUCAUUAUUUCUAUCAAUCAGAAAUAUCAAGGAUUGUGGUAACCUGCCACUUUCUCUAGUAAAGGUAAUCCUUGACUUAUGACCACAACUGAGCCUAUGUUUUCCAUUGCUAAGUAAGACAUGUAUUAGAAGAAUUUUGCUCCGUUUUACAACUUUUCUUGCCCCAGUAGUUAAACCACUCUGGGAGUUUAUUGUUCUCAUCUUUUGUCCGCGUCUCAUGUUUUCAAUUUCUUAGUUUGAGGAAUCAAUUGCAGAAAUACUGUAUAUCUGUUACAUGCAAAUGAACACCACAUAGAUUUUAAAUAUCAUAUAAUAAAGCAUUGUA